GUCUCUUCCAAAAUCUUGUUAUUUCAAAGUGACCUAUCUAAUUUCAUGAUCACCUGUGGAUUCUCAUCAAAAGUUUUGGACCAAACUAAAUAAAUGCUCCCUCUCUCUUUCUUCUUACAGCUUGUACCACCAUUAAAUAGCCAGGGACCCUCUCAUCAAACCUUGUUCUUUUAGGAUAAUAAUAACACAGCAACA